AUGCGCGGAAUCCCAUUCAUGGCAGCGCGGAGGAAUCGCGUGCUGUGGAGAACAAACAUCUCUGAUAAAGCCCUACAAGUGACACUGCUGAGUCAAAACACAAGGAUAUUCACCAUUUUGCUACAUAGUUGUGAUUUUGCUGUGCAUGAUUUUACUGAAGACUUCAUCCUAAAUAUUUGGUAGGUAUCACUAGCUAGCUGCCCUGUGAGGAUUAAUUAUUAAACCAGGUUCACAAAGAGUUUUUAAAGUGGAAAAGUGUGAUUGCAUUUUAGAGCCAUAUACACCAGGGCGUAAACUACUAUACUCAGGCUUAAAUUUCAAAAAGUGAGUACAGAUUGGGGGUGCAGAUCUUUUCCGUAGUUAGGGUUACCAGUGCCUUUCCUAAUACGGAUGGUUGGCGGCUUGGUUUCUUGUUCUUUCUUGCCAUUAAAGAGUUUUGUUCUCAGAAAGGAAACAAUAUGUGCUCUUUGAUGUGGCUCAGGAAAAAAGAGGCCAACACCACAUUUUAAAAUGCUUUGUGAAACGGCUCUUUAGAAGAAAGGGCUCACAGAGAGCUACGGCUCAAACAAGGGAAGGUUUUUAGAGCACUUGAAGAAAUUCUGACUCUAGAGGAAUUCUCGUAUUAAAAAAAAACACACACACAAAAGCAAAUCAUGGAAAAUGCAGACACAAUUAUUCUCUCUCUGAUGGGAAUCACUCUCCAGCCCCAGUGGAUCUUCUCUUUGAGGAGAUGACAGAAGACAGUAAAUGAAGCCCCGAAACAGAAACACCCUUGUGCAAAGGCUUGUGUUCCUAGGAGCACAGAACGGGAGCCCUUUGGGAAGCUUCCACGUUUUUCUUUUUAUUAUUUUUUUUAAUCUUGAUUUAUUUUUGAGAGAGAGAGACAGAGCCUGAGCAGGGGAGGAACAGAGAGAGAGGGAGACACAGAAUCCAAAGCAGGCUCCAGGCUCCGAGCCGUCAACACAGAGCCCGUCGCGGGGCUUGAACUCACGAACCGAGCGAUCACGACCUGAGCUGAAGUUGGACGCUUAAACGCCUCAGCCACCCAGGCGUCCCAGAGGUUUCCACAUUUUUAGAUGGUUGAAGAUUCUCGCCUGUAACAUUCAUCUCUCCUCCUUUCUCCUCCUCCUUUGAGAGACAGACAGACAGAUAGACACAGAGAGAGCCAGAGACAAACACCAAGAAAGAGAUGUGCAGAUAGAUACAGGGGGAAACAGAGAAAGAUUUUCCUUUGGCUAUGACAUGUUUUUAAAAUAGCUGUCAAGACGAUGCUGAAAGAAAUGGACCGUAAUAAAACAGGUCAUGUCCAUGUCA
rnacentral:lncRNA from 1 species